rnacentral:rRNA from 1 species
UACGGGGGGGGCAAGCGUUGUUCGGAAUUACUGGGCGUAAAGGGCUUGUAGGUGGCCAACUAAGUCAGACGUGAAAUCCCUCGGCUUAACCGGGGAACUGCGUCUGAUACUGGAUGGCUUGAGUGUGGGAGAGGGAUGCGGAAUUCCAGGUGUAGCGGUGAAAUGCGUAGAUAUCGGCAGGAACACCCAGGGGGAAACCAGCGGACUGGGCAUGCGCUGACGCUCAGGUGCGACAGCGUGGGGAGCGAACCGG